AGGGACGUAGUGAAAUGGCUAUCACAAAUCUCUCCAAAAGAUUUAUUCAGAGUUCGAAUCUCUGCGUCCCUGCCA
rnacentral:tRNA from 1 species